rnacentral:lncRNA from 1 species
GUUUGUUGAUAGUUGAUUAAGAUGAGAAUUAAUCUCGAAGUUGCAUCCUAGAAAGUAAGGGUUCGUAGCCUUACACCUUCUUGGUCAAUUGGGGGCCCACGUAUCACUGUAAACAAAAUUUCAUACUUUAAUUAUCUUUAUUACUAUAUGAAUAAAUUUAUUUUACUCUUAUGCUACAAAAGUUAUUUUAGGAAGACUUUGAAAAUAUUGUGUUUUAAGAAAAUAGAAUAUUUUAUUUAAUGUUUUUAUUAUAUUCAAAUAGUUAUAAUUUUACUUUAAACGAAUGUUUUAGACUUAAAAAUUUAAUUUAAAUCAUGAAAUAUGUGUUUCCAC